GAUUUUUCAGCUUUUAUCAAAGCUUUAGCUUUCUGUUAUCAUUUGUUUCUUCUUUCACUGCUUUUUGCAGAAUGUAGAAAUGAAGAUCAAGUCUGUAAUAUAGCUAAGCUAUUAAUUUUUUUGAUCUCAUUGAAUACUCCUUUAUCAAUUUGGAGAAUAAAGAAUCAUGUCUUCCCAAUAGCCCUGCUGGUGUGUCAUAUUCAGCUAUUCUUCCUGUUUAAGGACAAGGAAUUAGAAGCAACGUACAAAAUAAAGAGAUCUAGGUGCAUUAAAAUUUUACCUUCAUUCAAGACCAAGACAAAAUCACUAUCAAUGACUCUGUGGAUUCUGUGAGCUAUCGUGAUGACUGUUUGAUUUCUGAACUCUUGACUGAUAAUCUUUU
rnacentral:misc_RNA from 1 species